rnacentral:lncRNA from 1 species
CAAAGAAACAGCCGCGUAAAGGCCUUGAGGUCCCGCAGGGAAGGGUCCCGGCGCACAGAGACCAGCACAGGCGGCAGCAGCCGGUCUGUCCCGCGCGUGGAGCCUCUGGCGGCGGAGCGCGGCUGCCCCCUCCUGGGAGAGAAGGCGACAGUCCGGGAGGAGCCCGCAGCGCCAUCCGCGCAAUCCCUGAGAUUUAUCCAGGGCAGAUCCCUAGCAAGAUGAGGCCUCCCUGGUCUAUGGGAAGCAGUCCUCCCACCCUCAGCCUGGCACCCAGAGCCUCCUCCACAGACGGCUCCAGAGAUGUUCCCUGCUGUAUUAGUCCAUUCUCGCACUGCUG